CGGGACAGGGUUUUUGCUGCCCGGGGCCUAGUCUACCUCGGCACGCUUUUCUCUGAAGGAGACACGCACUUGCACGACGUGGGCCUCUGUGCAGCUCUACUUUGUCCUUAACUCCUCUGACUCAACGUUAUCGCAGUUUGACUCUGGAGCCACUCAGGUUUUUCCUAAGCUCAACUCUAGCCAGCUAGGUUCCUGGUGCUUUGGGGAAUAGGAGCUGUGCUAAUGGUUUGGAGACCGUCAAUUGGCCUAGCACUUGGC
rnacentral:lncRNA from 1 species